UACGGCUUUACCAUGUUGAAAUGCCAAUUCUUAUACAAUCACCGAAGUUAAGCAAUGUCAAGCCCAGUCAGUACCUAAAUGGGUGGCUACUUGGGAAUACCAGGUGCUGUCA